UACGUAGGUGGCAAGCGUUGUCCAGAUUUACUGGGCGUAAAGAGCGCGCAGGCGGUCGUUCAAGUCGCGUGUGAAAGCCUCCGGCUCAACUGGGGAGGGUCACGCGAUACUGAUCGACUCGAAGGCAGGAGAGGGUAGUGGAAUUCCCGGUGUAGUGGUGAAAUGCGUAGAUAUCGGGAGGAACACCAGUGGCGAAGGCGACUACCUGGCCUGUUCUUGACGCUGAGGCGCGAAAGCUAGGGGAGCAAACGGG
rnacentral:rRNA from 1 species